rnacentral:rRNA from 1 species
UAAUACCGACUNCNAGAGUGUCUAUGGUGGAUGCUGCAGUUAAAAAGUCCGUAGUUGUAUAUGCAAUUGAAGGGCACCGGUCAAGGGUGCAGGGUUUGCUAAGGAUGGCGGAACGGGCAGAGUGCAUAGUAUAGGCGGGCGAGAGAUGAAAUGACCAAGACCCCGCCUGGACUGACGGAGGCGAAAGCGAUGCACUUGAACGAGUCUGGGGAUCAAGGACGAAGGCUGGAGGAUCGAAAGUGAUUAGAUACCGCUGUAGUUCCAGCAGUAAACGAUGCCGACAAGCAGGACACGGGAGUGUUUGCUGGGAGAAAUCAUAGUUUUCGGGCUCUGGGGAUAGUACGCUCGCAAGGGUGAAACUUAAAGUGAAAUUGACGGAACUACACUACCAGGAGUGGAUUGUGCGGCUUAAUUUGACUCAACGCGGGAAAACUUACCAGGACCAAGCAGCGCAGAGAUCGACUACGUGAGCGCAGCAGGAGUGGUGCAUGGUCGUUGGAAAUUGAUGGGAUGACUUUCAGCUUAAGUGCUAUAAUCAGUGAGAUCUUUGGAGACAGGUGCAGAAUGGCACAGGAAGGAGAAGGCGAUAACAGAUCAGUGAUGCCCUCAGAUGCCCUGGGCGGCACGCGCAAUACAAUACUCGAUGUUCUUGCAGAUGGAUUUUGGAGUGCGAGGGAUUAGCUCUUGUAAAUGAGCUAUGAACGAGGAAUUCCUAGUAACGAUGAUUCAUUAAGUCAUGGUGAAUGAGUCCCUGUAGUUUGUACACACCGCCCGUCACUAUCUCAGAUGGUUAUGGAGAUGAAGAGCCCCGGUUCUGAAUAGUCAUAGCUAGAUAAGGUACAAGUCGUAACAAGGUUGCGGUCGGUGAACCAUUAGC